rnacentral:snoRNA from 1 species
GCACUGCUUUUGAUCCCCUGCCUUGCUUGCGCUUGGCGCUGGGCGUUCUGCUGCAGCGCCAGAGUCUGCCUGUGUGCAAAACCGCUGCCUUUCGACCCCGCGGAAGUGGCCUUUUUAACCCAGAGCAACUGG